GACUAAUAGGGUAAAUGAAAUUUGUAAGUCGAAUAUAAUAUUUGUUUUUAUGAAGGAGGAUUUGUUUAAAAAGUAAAAGGUAGAAUAUAGAAUUAGGAAAAUUAAUUUUUAUCUAUGAAUGGAUUAUAAUUUAUGGAAUGUUAGGUGUAAAAUAGGAUUAGAGACCCUGUUAUUCUAAUAAGAAAUUAAGGUUACUUGAGAAGUAAUAAGUUAUGAGCUUGAAACUUAAAGAAUUUGGCGGUAUUUUAGUCCUGUUAGAGGAACCUGUUCAAUAAACGAUAAAACACGUAGAAUCUUUAUUUUUUUUGUAAAUUUACAGCUUGUAUAUCGUCAUUAUUAGGAUGAUCUAUAAAAUUAUAUAUCAAGAUAAAUUGUAUUUAAAAUAUUAGAUCAAGGUGCAGCUUAUAAGAAAGAAUGAAAUGGGUUACAAUAAACUAAAUUUAAGACGGAUUAGGAGUUGAAGUUAGCUAUUGAAGGUGGAUUUAGGAGUAAUUAUAUUUUAAUAUGAUAUAAUGAUUUUGGCUCUAGAAUAUGUACAUAUCGCCCGUCACUCUCGCUUUUUAAUGU
rnacentral:rRNA from 1 species